UACAGAGACUGCAAGCGUUAUUCGGAUUCACUGGGCGUAAAGGGUGCGCAGGCGGCCAAGUGUGUCAGGCGUGAAAGCCUGGGGCUUAACUCCAGAAUUGCACCUCAAACUACAUGGCUAGAGCAUUGGAGAGGGUAGCAGAAUUCACGGUGUAGCAGUGAAAUGCGUAGAUAUCGUGAGGAAUACCAGAGGCGAAGGCGGCUACCUGGACAAUUGCUGACGCUCAGGCACGAAAGCGUGGGGAGCAAAAGGG
rnacentral:rRNA from 1 species